AGCACUGUGCUGGACAGGCUAGUGCUGAAAAAGCUGAUUUCUUGCAAAACUCUAGAGAGGGAACUGAGACCAUGGUGGGGAUAAGGAAGAUAUCCGACUGGGUCCUCAGGAUUCUGUAGGCUGUAUGUACAGAGUUGUGGCACAUUAGGAGCCAGCUUACUUUUUGAAACAGUGGUGUGGGGCUGGAGACUGCUGCUUUGUGCUCAGCUGAUCAGGAAAUUUGGAUUUGGAUCCAUUUGUUACAAACCUGAUGGGAGAAACGACUUUAAGAGAAAUCAGUGCUUUAUCACAUUUCAAAAGAGGAAGGAGCAAGAAAGGUCUCCUGGGGGCACAGUGCAGCCCCUGCUGGGAUUGUGGCUCUGUCCUGAAGUUGGGAAAGUCAACAGAAGUUUGCAAUGGGACAGAGAUUCUGUGAGAUGCAAAACAGUGUCUUGUGUUCACCUCUACUACUGUCAUGAGUCAGCUGGCUGCUGGCUUUGUGCAGGGCCUAUCAGAAUGUCCCUGUGAUACCAUCAGUACAACCUUGUGGAUUCAUCAGCCUCACCACCACUGCUGGUCACAUGGAAAAUCUGCUGGCUCAGGAAGAGGGCAGAAUGGCAAAUAAAGAAUCUUUGCUUCAAGGAAAACUGAAGUGAAGGAGCAGCAAAAGUUACUUAGCCCUUCCAUCAGCCAAUAGAAACUCAAAUAAUGAAAAAGUGGUCUCUUUCCUCACCUACGCACAGCUGGGAGCAGAAGAAAAAGUAGGAAAAAAAGCAAGAGCAGAGGAUGAAGCGUCACAGCAGGAAGAACUGAAAUCAAGUGCUCUAUCAGAAAAAAACAGAGAAAGAGUGAAGAAUUUAAAGGACUGGUAGAUGAGCACCUCAAAUUAAUUUCUACCAAUAGGCUCAUGUGUAAGAUUUCUUGGGCAAUCAAUUGCCAGAGAUGAGUAUAUAUCUAAAGAGGUCAUCACAACAUGUUAUUCAUAAUGCCUCAAAGAUGAGUGUUUUGCUGGAUUAAAAGAGUUAAUUUGUGGAAUCUUUUUAUGUUGACCUGGACACAUCUUCUCAUGAAGGACAGCAGAUAUGUGAGAGGGUGUGCUAGCAGAGAUGGACUCUGCAAGAGUGCCUGAACAUUCAAACUUGCUUCCCACGGUGGGUUGAAUAUAGUGUGAAUUUAGUGCCUGUUCAAGCAGGCUGGAAAUGCAGCUGCUGGGCAGAGUUUCUGGAUGGAGCUGAGACUCUGCUUCUCAUAACAGCAGAAGUACUAUGAUGGCUUUCAGCCAGCAGCUGGCCAGUGAAAU
ensembl:lncRNA